GUUGCCUAUGGAUUACAUUACAGCACACUACAACCUCGAACUCCUGGGCUCAAGUGAUCCUCCUGUGCUAGCCUCUCAAGCAGCUAGGACUACAGUUUUACUUGCUUCCAACAGGAAGGCAAGUUUUCCUCCUUCCAUGACGAUGAAAGGCAGGUAACUCCUUUAUGGAAUUUGAGCUGGCUUCCAACAGGGAAGAUGAGGUUUUUUUUCCUGCCUCUAGAAUAGUAGAGAGCAGUCUACAGCCUGAGACCCAUCACUAGGACACAAUUGAAGAAACUGGUAGUUUUACCAAGGCUUUGACUGGAAUGGUGCACUUUCCUAUAAGGAAUCAAACUUGACUUAAGAAGCCAAUAAAGCCCUUGGAAAAACUGGCCUCAUAUUUUGUGUACACAGUCCGUGUACAGGGUUUCUGGCCUGUGGAGUCACUGAAAACUAAGCUGUGCUUUCUUAAAGCCCAGCUAACUGAGACUAAACAACUUAAACUUCAGAAGAAAAUAACAGCAACCAAUUUACAUACCUGCCUACUGACUAUAGACUUCAGAGAAAUGUGGCCUAUAUAGAUUUUCCAAGAAUGUUCUUUUGUUUGUUGUUGUUUUUUCUCCCUUCCUCCCCACUAUUUUUCCUUCAUAGGACAUGAGACUUCACAACCUGCUAAAAAUCUUCGUUCGGGACCUACCUGUCUAGGAAUAAACCAUCCUUGCCAUGAGAGAUCAAAUGAAACCUGAGACCAGAGAUUCAUUUUCUUGUAAAAUGCCUUCUCCAAAAGAUUUUUGAAAAGAAAGGGGGGAAAUAUGAAAGGAAAUUAAAGCUUGGGGCCCCCAAAUCACUAAG
rnacentral:lncRNA from 1 species